rnacentral:rRNA from 1 species
ACGAACGCUGGCGGCAUGCCUAACACAUGCAAGUCGAACGAGACCUUCGGGUCUAGUGGCGCACGGGUGCGUAACGCGUGGGAACCUGCCCUUAGGUUCGGAAUAACUCCCCGAAAGGGGUGCUAAUACCGGAUAAUGUCUUCGGACCAAAGAUUUAUCGCCUUUGGAUGGGCCCGCGUUGGAUUAGCUAGUUGGUAGGGUAAAAGCCUACCAAGGCGACGAUCCAUAGCUGGUCUGAGAGGAUGAUCAGCCACACUGGCACUGAGACACGGCCCAGACUCCUACGGGAGGCAGCAGUGGGGAAUAUUGGACAAUGGGCGAAAGCCUGAUCCAGCAAUGCCGCGUGAGUGAUGAAGGCCUUAGGGUUGUAAAGCUCUUUUACCCGGGAUGAUAAUGACAGUACCGGGAGAAUAAGCUCCGGCUAACUCCGUG